CACAGGGGUUUAUUGAAAACCACAGGCAAAUGUUAUUUUUCCCAUUUGGCAGAUGAGAAAAGAGGCUUGGAGGCUAAGUUAAGGGUUGAAAAACUCAACUGCCUUCCGGACUCAGGUGAAACAGCCCCGUGUAAGAAAACUGAACUUUUAAUUUAACUAUAUGAAAAGGAAUGAUGAAAUAAUCAACACCAGGUCUUUGUGCUAGGGAGAAUAGAUGUGGAGAAUAGUCGUGUGAACUGGGAAAAAUGGAGAGCAGGCCAAUUAACUCCAGCUGAUGGCCUCCAUGUGAAAGUGAAGAUCCAGUGUUCCCAGAUAUGGGGCAAAUGGAGUUAGCAGUCCAGGCUUUAUGUGAAUGUGUCCACUUAUUAAAAAUUGGAAAUCAAUUCACAUGUGAACAUGCACUCUAUGGGCCAACUCUGAGAGUCAAACUGUAUCUGAGUUUGAGACCUCCAGAUUGAGACAUUUGGCCAAAGCUCACUCUCUGGCCAGGCAGGCGGUGUUUUUUUCCCUGCUCUGAAGUCCAGUGCUGUGCUGGGUACAGAUAAAUAUGAAUAAGUAACUAAACUUGCCCUCAAAGAGCUUGAGAUGGCAUAGUACACGGACUAGUGUGUGGUAAAUGCUUUAUUAGAUAUGUGCAGAGGAAGAAGUGACAAGUGUCUGGGAAGACAGGAAGGGCUUCACACUGGAAGUAAUGGUUUCUGCUGGGCUGUGAAUGAAAGCAGAAGGCUAGUGCAGAAGUACAGUGGUUAACAUCAAGUGUCACGGAGGGGUUUGACCAAAAGGAGCCGUGGAGUGAAGACACAAAUAUAUGAAAGAAUGUGGCGUGUUUGAGAAACAGUAUAGGAUACCGUACCUGGCAGGCGGUCAUGUCAGUUGCAAUUCACCCAUCAAUCAAAGCUUCCCUGGUGGCUUCACUGUAAAGAAUCCGCCUGCAACGUGGGAGACCUGGGUUCGAUCCCUGGGUUGGGAAGAUCCCCUGGAAAAGGGAAAGGCUACCCACUCCAGUAUUCUGGCCUGGAGAAUUCCAUGGACUGUAUAGUCCUUGUGGUUGCAAAGAGUUGGACACAACCGAGAGACUUUCAUCAAUAAAAGGUCUUCGAGCUUCCCUGGUGGCUCAGAUGGUAAAGAAUCUGCCUGCAGUGCAGGAGAGUGGGGUUCGAUCCCUGAAUCGGGAAGAUGCCCUGGAGAAGGCCAUGGCUACCCAAUCCAGUACUUUAUGGAGAAUCCCAUAAACAGAGAGCCUGGUAGGCUAUAGUCCAUGGGAUCGCAAAGAGUCAGACACGAAUGAGCGACUUCACUUUCUUUCUUUUCUAGUCACUAGGCUGUGUAGGAAAGCAAAAAUGAUACUAACAAACUAGCCACUUUUGAAAUUAGUUACUACUUAGUCAUUCCUUCUUGCUUGUCUCCACCAAUUCCAUCAACAUCUUUGGUAGUCAGUUUCUGGCUAAUGAGUAGAUGGGGUAAACCUCAGGAUAAUACAGUGCAAAUAAAAUUGAUUGCAGACUGAAAUAGCACAUCUUCCAAGAGCUGUGGUACUUCGUGAAGUCCCUGAGAGUCAUGAUAGAGAUAUCCUUACAUUCCCCACAGCCUUAUGCCAGCUGACAGAUGGAGAAGGGAAAUCAAGGACAGUGAUGUGAUACAGACUUGAAAAGCAAAGGAUUUGCAGAGAAAAAAACUAAAUUAGGCCCUUAGGAAACAUGAUAAAGCACAGGAAUAUUUUGGUAAAACUGACCUUUACAUAUUGCAAAAGUGAGCCAGGAAAUAAAGUAUAAGAAUGUUUGGGGGAAAUACAUCAGGAAAAAAAAAGUUGACUCUUCAAGUGGUUCUUUGAUUAUUUUAAGAAUUGGCAGACAGCCACCGUUAUAGCUUGUUGUUCAGUUGCCACGUUGUGUCCAACUCUUUGCAACCCCAUGGACUAUAGCACAUCAGGCUUCCCUGUCCUUCACUAUCUCCCAGA